rnacentral:rRNA from 1 species
GAUGGCGGCCAUAGGUUCCCGUGUUCACCUGAACUCGGCCGAACUCAGAAGUUAAGACGGGAGUCGUUUAAGGAAGUGUACGCUGCGCGAGCGCGUGACAAGCCUUAAAGCUGCCACAU